AACCGUCCAAACGUUAUUCGGUAUCACUGGGCUUAAAGCGUGCGUAGGCGGCUUGGUAGGUGAGAUGUGAAAGCCCACGGCUCAACCGUGGAAUUGCGUUUCAAACCCCCAAGCUCGAGGAAGAUAGGGGUGAUGGGAACUUAUGGUGGAGCGGUGAAAUGCGUUGAUAUCAUAGGGAACACCGGUGGCGAAAGCGCAUCACUGGAUCUUUUCUGACGCUGAGGCACGAAAGCCAGGGUAGCGAACGGGAUUAGAUACCCCGGUAGUCCUAGCCGUAAACGAUGAACACUGGGUUGAGGGGACUUCCACAUCCUCUCGGCUGUAGCGAAAGCGUUAAGUGUUCCGCCUGGGGAGUAUGGUCGCAAGGCUGAAACUCAAAGGAA
rnacentral:rRNA from 1 species